CGGGGCGUAGCUCAGGAUGGCUAGAGCGCACGGUUCGGGACCGUGAGGUUCGGGGGUUCAAGUCCCCCCGCCCCGACCA
rnacentral:tRNA from 1 species